rnacentral:rRNA from 1 species
AUACGUAGGGUGCGAGCGUUGUCCGGAAUUACUGGGCGUAAAGAGCUCGUAGGUGGUUUGUCGCGUCGUCUGUGAAAUUCCGGGGCUUAACUCCGGGCGUGCAGGCGAUACGGGCAUAACUUGAGUACUGUAGGGGAGACUGGAAUUCCUGGUGUAGCGGUGAAAUGCGCAGAUAUCAGGAGGAACACCGGUGGCGAAGGCGGGUCUCUGGGCAGUAACUGACGCGGAGGAGCGAAAGCAUGGGUAGCGAACAGGAUUAGAUACCCGGGUAGUCCAUGCCGUAAACGGUGGGCGCUAGGUGUAGGGGUCUUCCACGACUUCUGUGCCGUAGCUAACGCAUUAAGCGCCCCGCCUGGGGAGUACGGCCGCAAGGCUAAAACUCAAAGGAAUUUACGGGG